GAUGAACGCUGGCGGCGUGCCUAAUACAUGCAAGUCGAGCGAACGGACGAGAAGCUUGCUUCUCUGAUGUUAGCGGCGGACGGGUGAGUAACACGUGGAUAACCUACCUAUAAGACUGGGAUAACUUCGGGAAACCGUAGCUAAUACCGGAUAAUAUUUUGAACCGCAUGGUUCAAAAGUGAAAGACGGUCUUGCUGUCACUUAUAGAUGGAUCCGCGCUGCAUUAGCUAGUUGGCAAGGUAACGGCUUACCGAGGCAACGAUGCAUAGCCGACCUGAGAGGGUGAUCGGCCACACUGGAACUGAGACACGGUCCAGACUCCUACGGGAGGCAGCAGUAGGGAAUCUUCCGCAAUGGGCGAAAGCCUGACGGAGCAACGCCGCGUGAGUGAUGAAGGUCUUCGGAUCGUAAAACUCUGUUAUUAGGGAAGAACAUAUGUGUAAGUAACUGUGCACAUCUUGACGGUACCUAAUCAGAAAGCCACGGCUAACUACGUG
rnacentral:rRNA from 1 species